rnacentral:rRNA from 1 species
AUGCCCCCGGCCGCUCCAGCGGCGACUGCUCCGGCCGCGACGCAGCCCUUCCGUCGGCUCUCUCAGGCCAAGCAGCUCAAGCGACGUCGCCAGGGGCUUUGCUAUAACUGCGAUGAGCCCUACGUGUCGGGCCAUGUCUGCUCGCGCCUCUUCUACUUGGAGACGGCCGACUAUGUCGAGGAGGACACACCCACCGACGGGCUCGGCGAGUUGCCGCCACCAGUUGCUGCAGAGGCCGCCCCCACGCCCGCUCCAGCGACGGCGCUCGUGGUCUCGCUCCAUGCGCUUGCCGGCAUCCGCGAUGAGCGAACUAUGCUUUUGCCGGUGACGAUUCACGGCGAGCGCCUGGUGGCCCUCCUGGAUACGGGCUCCACGCAUAACUUCCUGCCCGAGGCUACCAUGCGCCGCUUAGCACUUUAG